UUCUUUUAUUUCCAAAACACAUUUCCAAAAGAUAUUUAGUAAGACGUUUUUACUUGGUAUAUUAAAAUGUGGGAAGGUCAAAAGAUUUUUACAAAGAAUAAUAACGAAUCUGAGUCACAAUCCUGCAGAGAAUUGACAAAAUGUUUUGAAAGAAGUAUCCCGUUAAUUGAAUUGGCCAACCGUUGAAAUUAUUUCAUUUAAGAAUGAAAGAUGUUGACGUCGAUCCAGAAAUGUAUCAUUAUGCACUGGAUUAUUACUAUACUAAGGAAAUGAACGCAACAAAGGAAUAUUCCAUUGUGUAAUAGAUUGGACUGGCUUUCAAUUGGUUAUUACUAGACCCUCAACGAGAAUGUUGCCACGAUAAGAUCAUGCUUCAACAUAGUUCCAUCCUCCAUGAUUACUGGAUUUUUAUUGGAUAAGAACGAAUGUUAUUUGUAUAAAAAUAGGAAAGAAAAACAUCUUAGAAUUCAAGAAUAUCAUUCGAUAAUAUGUAUUCGUCAGUUAGUCGAUGGUUUCUCAUCCGAAAGAUUCAUUAUGCACGUAAAGAUUGAGAAAAACAAGGGAACUAUUCAAGAGAUCAUCUGAAGGGAUAUCGAAGAAUAUAGCUGCAGUAAAUAUGUAUAGAUGAAAGAGAGUAAAUUUAUCUAUCGAAUCUGCUAGUCUAAUAACAAUCGUAGAGGAGGAGAAAAGCAGUUUAUUACAAAUAAUACUUAAGAAGAAUUGACAGUGAAAAUUUUGUGGAAACCAAUGGUAAGAAAGCUCAUGUUGGUUCAUUGUCAUGGAGUUUUGUUUCAUCAAUCAUGCGGAACAUAUUUUCUGCUAAUUGAAUAAGGAAAUUGGUUUGUUUCAUGGUGGUAGAACGAUCGUUGAUGAAAGAAGAAUAAGAUGCGGACCACGUUUUUGUAUUAAUCUUGCUAUAGCAAUCUAUCUUCAUACGUACGUUUAUCUAUUCGACCAUAAAUCUUAAACGGCAAAAGGGGCCGGGAGGCAUAUCAUUUGAAACGCCUUUUUAUUCUUUUUACAACGGUAUCAUUUUUUCCAUUUUAAAUCCAUAGUUAUCGAAAAACCGUUUAAGAUUUAUGGUCGAAUUUAGCGAUAGACGCUUUGGUAAGUAAAUGUAUCGUUGAAUAGUAUAAAUAUGAGGAUGCCUGAAAAACAAAAUAAUCAUCUUAGGGAUCCGUCAAUUAAAGUUUUUGUACUUCCAGUUUCCAAGCUUUUUAUGAAAAAGAACAAAAAAUCCAGAUGCUAAAGCAUCAUCGAAGAUUCUAGAGAGUGAUAUUUAUAAUAACGAUAGUAAGAAGCGUAAACCAAAGCAGUGGCUUAUUUGAGAUUUUUAUUUGGCGAUAAUUUGAACGGUUGGAACGAAUAAGUGAUUAAAUUUAUUCCAAUACUGAUUUCAGAUUUUUCAUUAACUAAAUACUUAUUAUAUUAUGAACAAAAGCUCGAUCACUGAAUCUAAUGUUUAUAGCAUUAAAUGGCGAGACAAUUUUCAUUAGCGAACUGGAUAUUUUUUUUUCGAAGGAUAUGCCGAUUGUUUAUUUCGACAAAAUUUACGUGUAGUCGAGUUAAAAGAAGAAAACGGAUAGAUGAUUACCGGAUUGUAUUCUCGAAUGUCUGAAGGAGGAAUGAAUUAAAGAGUCAGCUGAAUCAAUUAUUUAACAUGUAUGAUUCGUCCAGUCAUUAGAAACAAAAUAAGAACUAGUUUUAUUAAUUACGUUUGAACCUUUUUAACAUUUAAUAAAAUAAAAGUUGUUAUCAACCAGAAAAUUAAAAUUGCAUUUUUUCAACAACUAUCGAUUUAAAAUGGAAAAAAUGAUACCGUUGUAAAAAGAAUAAAAAGGCGUUUCAAAUGAUAUGCCUCCCGGCCCCUUUUGCCGUUUAAGAUUUUUUAGUUGGUUGUCAUCUCAGGUAGUAAGCCUAAAGAAAAAUGCAUUUAUGAUAAGGACCUAUUCUCCUCGAAGACAAUGUUAACUAGAUAUGACGUUUUCUGAAAAAGUCAUUAAAUUUCAUAAUAAUCUUGAUGAAUACUCUUCAUUUGGAUAUAUAUGUAGGUUAAAUAUGGUGACUGAUAUCUUUCCAUUUUUAUCAUUUUGUUUUUCUUCUUAUCUUUGUGUGCUUAUAUAUGAACUUUUUCUGUUAUUAAAAGUAUUUGAUGUUAAUGAUUUGUAUCAACGUUAAUACAAUAUAUAAUAUAUAAAGCAUCGAUAGGAUUAUUAAAGUGAGAUAAAUUUUUCGUCCUGAAUGUUUACGAUUUCUAAUAAAAUUUUCUUCUGCGAUUUAGAGAAAAAGGGAAAGGACGUGUAAGUUAGCAAUAUUAUUAGAACAAUAAACAGAAAAAUAUUCAUUAUUGCAUAAUCCUGUUGAGUUACCAUGUGUAAUGCGUCGAAUCGAUAUAAAUAAUUGAUAUAAAAAAAAUAUUUCGACAUAAUUUGCUUCAAUUAUUGAUCAUUACAUAAAUACGUACGAUAAUAUGUAAUAAUCACAUAUACAUGUUACUCCUUCUUUCUCUUAUUUCAUCUCUCUCUCUCUGUCGCCUUCUUUCAGACCCAUCUCCUAUCAUUCACCAUUCUCUUUUUGCUUUGCCACCUUUUCUCGCUCGUCGCAUAAUUGAUUCCUUUUUCCGAUUGCUUUAUUCGAUAGCUUCUUUUAUUAUUCAGAAGGCAUUGUUGUAAAAUAUAACAUUGAUAAGUGGAAAAAUUUGAAUAAAGAAUUUAAAAAAUAAA